rnacentral:tRNA from 1 species
GUUUAUACACAUAGCUCAGUUGGUAGAGCAACGCACUAGUAACGCGGAGGUCAUGGGUUCAAAUCCCGUUGAAGCCA